rnacentral:tRNA from 1 species
GCCGGUGUGUCGGAAGUGGCAGACGAGACAGACUCAAAAGCUGUUAUCCGCAAGGGUGUGUGGGUUCGAGUCCCACCACCGGCACCA